rnacentral:rRNA from 1 species
GUCCUAGCCCUAAACGGUGCUUGCUUGCUGUAAGAGGAAUCGACCCCUCUUGUGGCGGAGCUAACGCGUUAAGCAAGCCGCCUGGGAAGUACGGUCGCAAGAUUAAAACUCAAAGAAAUUGACGGGGGCCUGCACAAGCGGUGGAGUAUGUGGCUUAAUUCGAUGCAACGCGAAGAACCUUACCUGGCCUUGACAUGCACAUAGUAGAAGCCUGAAAGGGUGACGAGGUAGCAAUACCAGUGUGCACAGGUGCUGCAUGGCUGUCGU